rnacentral:rRNA from 1 species
GAUGAACGCUAGCGACAGGCUUAACACAUGCAAGUCGAGGGGCAGCGGGGGUGAUGGCUUGCCAUCACCUGCCGGCGACCGGCGCACGGGUGAGUAACACGUAUGCAACCUGCCCGCCACAGGGGGAUAAGCGGAAGAAAUUCCGUCCAAUACCGCGUGACGCGGCGUCGGGGCAUCCCGGUGCCGCCAAAGGGAUUACCGGUGGCGGAUGGGCAUGCGGCGCAUUAGCUAGUCGGCGGGGUAACGGCCCACCGAGGCGACGAUGCGUAGGGGUUCUGAGAGGAAGGUCCCUCACACUGGUACUGAGACACGGACCAGACUCCUACGGGAGGCAGCAGUGAGGAAUAUUGGUCAAUGGGCGCGAGCCUGAACCAGCCAAGUCGCGUGAGGGAUGACGGUCCUACGGAUUGUAAACCUCUUUUGCCGGGGAGCAAGCGUGCGUUCGUGAACGCGCGUCGAGAGUACCCGGAGAAAAAGCAUCGGCUAACUCCGUGCCAGCAGCCGCGGUAAUACGGAGGAUGCGAGCGUUAUCCGGAUUUAUUGGGUUUAAAGGGUGCGUAGGCGGGAUGCCAAGUCAGCGGUAAAAAUGCGGUGCUCAACGCCGUCGAGCCGUUGAAACUGGCGUUCUUGAGUGGGCGAGAAGUAUGCGGAAUGCGUGGUGUAGCGGUGAAAUGCAUAGAUAUCACGCAGAACUCCGAUUGCGAAGGCAGCAUACCGGCGCCCUACUGACGCUGAGGCACGAAAGCGUGGGUAUCGAACAGGAUUAGAUACCCUGGUAGUCCACGCAGUAAACGAUGAAUGCUAACUGUCCGGCGCGAAUGAGCGCUGGGCGGUACAGCGAAAGCGUUAGGCAUUCCACCUGGGGAGUACGCCGGCAACGGUGAAACUCAAAGGAAUUGACGGGGGCCCGCACAAGCGGAGGAACAUGUGGUUUAAUUCGAUGAUACGCGAGGAACCUUACCCGGGCUCAAACGCAGGAUGACGGGUCCCGAAAGGGGCCUUUCUUCGGACAUUCUGCGAGGUGCUGCAUGGUUGUCGUCAGCUCGUGCCGUGAGGUGUCGGCUUAAGUGCCAUAACGAGCGCAACCCCCAUCGCCAGUUACCAGCAAGUCAAGUUGGGGACUCUGGCGAGACUGCCGGCGCAAGCUGUGAGGAAGGCGGGGAUGACGUCAAAUCAGCACGGCCCUUACGUCCGGGGCGACACACGUGUUACAAUGGCAGGUACAGAGAGAAGCAAUGCGGCGACGCAAAGCGGAACUUGAAAGCCUGUCUCAGUUCGGAUUGGAGUCUGCAACUCGACUCCAUGAAGCUGGAUUCGCUAGUAAUCGCGCAUCAGCCAUGGCGCGGUGAAUACGUUCCCGGGCCUUGUACACACCGCCCGUCAAGCCAUGGGAGCCGGGAGUGCCUGAAGUACGUGACCGCAAGGAGCGUCCUAGGGUAAGACCGGUGACUGGGGCU